rnacentral:rRNA from 1 species
GGCAGGCUUAACACAUGCAAGUCGAGGGGCAUCGGGAGGGAAGCUUGCUUUCCUUGCCGGCGACCGGCGCACGGGUGAGUAACACGUAUGCAACCUGCCCUCUUCAGGGGGACAACCUUCCGAAAGGGAGGCUAAUCCCGCGUAUAUCGGUUUCGGGCAUCCGUUAUCGAGGAAAGAUUCAUCGGAAGAGGAUGGGCAUGCGGCGCAUUAGCUAGACGGCGGGGUAACGGCCCACCGUGGCGACGAUGCGUAGGGGUUCUGAGAGGAAGGUCCCCCACACUGGUACUGAGACACGGACCAGACUCCUACGGGAGGCAGCAGUGAGGAAUAUUGGUCAAUGGGAGAGAUCCUGAACCAGCCAAGCUGCGUGAGGGAAGACGGCCCUAUGGGUUGUAAACCUCUUUUGUCGGAGAACAAAACCCGGGACGUGUCCCGGACUGCGUGUAUCCGAAGAAAAAGCAUCGGCUAACUCCGUGCCAGCAGCCGCGGUAAUACGGAGGAUGCGAGCGUUAUCCGGAUUUAUUGGGUUUAAAGGGUGCGUAGGCGGUCCGUUAAGUCAGCGGUAAAAUUGCGGGGCUCAACCCCGUCGAGCCGUUGAAACUGGCAGACUUGAGUUGGCGAGAAGUACGCGGAAUGCGCGGUGUAGCGGUGAAAUGCAUAGAUAUCGCGCAGAACUCCGAUUGCGAAGGCAGCGUACCGGCGCCAGACUGACGCUGAGGCACGAAAGCGUGGGGAUCGAACAGGAUUAGAUCCCCUGGUAGUCCACGCAGUAAACGAUGAAUGCUGGUUGUCCGGGUCGAAUGAGACCUGGGCGGCGAAGCGAAAGCGAUAAGCAUUCCACCUGGGGAGUACGCCGGCAACGGUGAAACUCAAAGGAAUUGACGGGGGCCCGCACAAGCGGAGGAACAUGUGGUUUAAUUCGAUGAUACGCGAGGAACCUUACCCGGGCUCAAACGGGAGUGGAAUGAACCAGAGACGGUUCAGCCUACGGGCCGCUUCCGAGGUGCUGCAUGGUUGUCGUCAGCUCGUGCCGUGAGGUGUCGGCUUAAGUGCCAUAACGAGCGCAACCCCCGCCGGCAGUUGUUAACGGGCAAUGCCGAGGACUCUGCCGGGACUGCCGCCGCAAGGCGUGAGGAAGGCGGGGAUGACGUCAAAUCAGCACGGCCCUUACGUCCGGGGCGACACACGUGUUACAAUGGGCGGUACAGCGGGAAGCCAGGCGGCGACGCCGAGCGGAACCCGAAAGCCGUUCUCAGUUCGGAUCGGAGUCUGCAACCCGACUCCGUGAAGCUGGAUUCGCUAGUAAUCGCGCAUCAGCCAUGGCGCGGUGAAUACGUUCCCGGGCCUUGUACACACCGCCCGUCAAGCCAUGGGAGCCGGGGGUGCUUGAAGU